UGAUAUUCCAAUUUAUGAUCCUGCUUGGUUCAAUUUGGACUGGUCCAGGAAAAAGAAAAAAGAAAACAGAAAAAAGAAAUUCACAGAUUUAUUUUUUAAUAAUGAAAUCUAACCCCUUAAGGAUACAGUGCCAUUUUAUUUUAAUUUUAAUUUUUAUUAUGCUUGGUGUGUCCCAAAUAAUUACAUUUUCAGUAUGGAAAGCAAGUUUGAUAAAAUCUGAAUUUAUGUUUGUUUGGCAACUGGAUACCAAAGAGACGUUUGCCUUGCAGCAGGUGAAAUCUUCCCGAGGCAGGAUGGAACACAUGUCCUCUACAUCGGCAGGUGGAUUCUUAACCACGGGACCACCAGCGAAGCCCAAGAAAUCUUUUCAAGAAUGCUCCUAACCUCUGUCUUCUCAUGGCUGGUUCCUUAUUAUCUGGAGUCUUAGGGAAAAUAUCCUCUUUUCAGGAAGACUUUGCCUCAUUCUAUCAGAUAAAUUAUUUGAUGUAUCCUACAGCCAGGAUUCUCCAUAUACACAUCUGAGACACUAACCAACUAUGCCAAACAUGAUUGGGAAUAGGUGAUUUGCGAUUCUCUAACAUAAGCUCUACAUGAACCGUGCACUUCCAGAUGUUCAAGCUGGUUUCAGAAAAGGCAGAGGAACCAGAGAUCAAAUUGCCAACAUCCACUGGAUCAUCCAAAAAGCAAGAGAG